ACGAACGCUGGCGGCGUGCUUAACACAUGCCAGUCGCACGGAAAGGCCCUGCUUUUGUGGGGUGCUCGAGUGGCGAACGGGUGAGUAACACGUGAGUAACCUGCCCUUGACUUUGGGAUAACUUCAGGAAACUGGGGCUAAUACCGGAUAGGAGCUCCUGCUGCAUGGUGGGGGUUGGAAAGUUUCGGCGGUUGGGGAUGGACUCGCGGCUUAUCAGCUUGUUGGUGGGGUAGUGGCUUACCAAGGCUUUGACGGGUAGCCGGCCUGAGAGGGUGACCGGCCACAUUGGGACUGAGAUACGGCCCAGACUCCUGCGGGAGGCAGCAGUGGGGAAUAUUGCACAAUGGGCGGAAGCCUGAUGCAGCAACGCCGCGUGCGGGAUGACGGCCUUCGGGUUGUAAACCGCUUUCGCCUGUGACGAAGCGUGAGUGACGGUAAUGGGUAAAGAAGCACCGGCUAACUACGUG
rnacentral:rRNA from 1 species